UACGUAGGGCGCGAGCGUUGUCCGGAAUUAUUGGGCGUAAAGAGCUCGUAGGCGGUUUGUCGCGUCGGUUGUGAAAACCCAAGGCUCAACCUUGGGCCUGCAAUCGAUACGGGCAGACUAGAGUACUGCAGGGGAGACUGGAAUUCCUGGUGUAGCGGUGGAAUGCGCAGAUAUCAGGAGGAACACCGGUGGCGAAGGCGGGUCUCUGGGCAGUAACUGACGCUGAGGAGCGAAAGCGUGGGGGAGCGAACAGG
rnacentral:rRNA from 1 species